rnacentral:sRNA from 1 species
GGGUCUGUGGAUUUCUAGUUUAUGAUAAAUAGGACUUUAAAAACCAGGGACGGGAGGGCGAGUGUUCAGGUUCUAGAGCUAUGCAGCUGGAGCACUGCCUUUCUCCUUCUAUCAUGCUCUCCAAGAAAUUUCUCAAUGUGAGCAGCAGCUACCCACAUUCAGGCGGAUCCGAGCUUGUCUUGCACGAUCAUCCCAUUAUCUCGACCACUGACAACCUGGAGAGAAGUUCACCUUUGAAAAAAAUUACCAGGGGGAUGACGAAUCAGUCAGAUACAGACAAUUUUCCUGACUCCAAGGACUCACCAGGGGACGUCCAGAGAAGUAAACUCUCUCCUGUCUUGGACGGGGUCUCUGAGCUUCGUCACAGUUUCGAUGGCUCUGCUGCAGAUCGCUACCUCCUCUCUCAGUCCAGCCAGCCACAGUCUGCGGCCACUGCUCCCAGUGCCAUGUUCCCGUACCCCGGCCAGCACGGACCGGCGCACCCCGCCUUCUCCAUCGGCAGCCCCAGCCGCUACAUGGCCCACCACCCGGUCAUCACCAACGGAGCCUACAACAGCCUCCUGUCCAACUCCUCGCCACAGGGAUACCCCACGGCCGGCUACCCCUACCCACAGCAGUACGGCCACUCCUACCAAGGAGCUCCGUUCUACCAGUUCUCCUCCACCCAGCCGGGGCUGGUGCCCGGCAAAGCACAGGUGUAUCUGUGCAACAGGCCCCUUUGGCUGAAAUUUCACCGGCACCAAACGGAGAUGAUCAUCACCAAACAGGGAAGGUAAUACUACAUUUUUGGCUGCCGCUGCUCUAGGCGCAGCCGGGGACAAGUGCACCUAGGUUGUGACUGCCGCGGCAGCGACGAUUUGGGGUCGGGAGCGGAGUGGAAGGCGCCCUAGAGUUGGCUAGUUUUGGAAAGGGGGAAAGUGGAAGGGAUAACCGCCACGGUGAUGUUGGUGGGGGAGACCCCGUUCUAGGAACGUGGUUGGAGAGCCAGUCAGUGGCCAGAGUAAGGCAAGAAAAAGGAAGAGCCCUGGCCAGCGGCUGGGCGAUGGGACGCAUCAACACUGGCAUGCACGGACAGGUGGAGACGCAGGUCGCCAACCUCGCUCUCCACCUGGGCAGUGAUACCUGCCACCUUCCCACUCCAGCUCACCCGCCGCUCUCCCUGAUUUGGGUUGCACUUCUUUUCUUCUCCCACCACCCUUUUUCUAAUCCAGCAAAUAUUCGCCCUAUUUGCUGCAAGUACAAGUUUUGCUUUGCUAACUGGCGCCCCGCUUCUUGCAUUUAAUCUUUAACAUUUAUAUUUCUUUUUUCCUUGUUUUCUCCCCCACCCCUUAAUUUAAAUAGGCGCAUGUUUCCUUUUUUAAGUUUUAACAUUUCUGGUCUCGAUCCCACGGCUCAUUACAAUAUUUUUGUGGAUGUGAUUUUGGCGGAUCCCAAUCACUGGAGGUUUCAAGGAGGCAAAUGGGUUCCUUGCGGCAAAGCGGACACCAAUGUGCAAGGAAAUCGGGUCUAUAUGCAUCCGGAUUCCCCCAACACUGGGGCUCACUGGAUGCGCCAAGAAAUCUCUUUUGGAAAAUUAAAACUUACGAACAACAAAGGAGCUUCAAAUAACAAUGGGCAGGUCAGUGGCUCAAGCGCUCGUGUUUUGUCUCUCUCUCACCCCUUCCUCCCUGACAUCCAGUUCGUCAGUGUAAAGCAGCAUAUGGAACUGGAUACACGUUUCUUUGCUUCAUUAAAAAGACUUAAAAAUUGUAUUUCCACCCUCCAAAUUUAUAUUAAAUCUAUAAAGUUGUUCUCAUUGGCAACACCUCCGUCGGCCCAAUUUUGGAAUGCCCGACCUUCCCAAGUACUAAUACUGAUUGAUUUUGAGAAGAAACCCCACAAGAUCUGCAGGUUGUGGAAAUCUCUGUUCCUCCUUACAGGAGGACUAGGAGAAGGGCCCUGAGGAUCGGGCGGUCGGCUUCCCCCUUUUCUCCGGUGCCCCGGCUUAUCUUCGCUCCCAGAGGUGCGAAAGCCGGUCUGUCCCAGCCAGCCAGCCGCCAGCCAGGCGAGUCCCGCGGUCAGUUAGCCUGGGAGGCGGGCUGCAGGCUGCCUCCGCCGGCCCGGGCGCGCAGCCUGGCGCACACAGCCACGCGCACAGCGACCGCGUUAACACGCCACCCUGCGCUCCCCUUUCUUCCCGCCGGACAGAUGGUGGUUUUACAGUCCUUGCACAAGUACCAGCCCCGCCUGCAUGUGGUGGAAGUGAACGAGGACGGCACGGAGGACACUAGCCAGCCCGGCCGCGUGCAGACGUUCACUUUCCCUGAGACUCAGUUCAUCGCCGUCACCGCCUACCAGAACACCGAUGUAAGGAGACCUAGGGGCUGGGGGCGAGGCGGGCGGCACAGACAUCUCUCCCACCCUCUCACAUUCUCCCGCCAUGCAGGGCUAGGGUACUAGCAGCGCUAACAUCAGCAACAGCUGGCUCCGUUGUGCGUUUUAAGGCCUAGGGCUCGGGGCCUGCCCACGGCACCUUUCCUAAAUACCAAGCCGGUGGGAAAAAGCUUUCUAUUUGUUUUCGUCGCUGGUCACCCGGGCCACCUUUGAGGUGGCCAGGAUUUCUAAAGACUCUUCUUUUGGGAGUUUUAAUUUGGGCUUUGAACUAGAACAGAUUAAAUCUACUUUUUUUUUUUUUUUUUUUUUUUUUUUUUUUUUUAAUUCUCUUUCCUUUAGAAAACAAGCAGAUUUCCCCGUGCAUUUUAUUCUUGGCAAGCUUUAGCAUCUAAAAAAAAAUUUCUCUCUCUCUCUCUUUUUUUUUAUCUCAGAACUGAUGGCUGAAAUGAACAAACAUCACUGUUCUGGGAGAUCAAAAGAACAUACACAUUCAUAUAUGUGAAAACUACAAUAAAUCAAAUUACUGAGGGCUAUGGAUUGAGCUUUCUAGCACUUGAACCACUUCCGAUUUUGCAAGUUUGCAAAAACUGAUUUUAGUGGCUGAUUUGACUACUAGGAGUGAUAGGGGUUUUUGUGUGUUUUUUUUUUUUUUUUACUUAAAUGAUAAUAUCAGAAAUUAAAACAUGCUUUUAAAUCAAACCUGAUUUUAAGAUGCAACUUGUGGUUUCUCAGGUUGUGAGUCAGAAGCGACAAAUGUUUUAAAAUAUAAAAUACUUAAAAUAGUCAACAUUUAGUGAUGAAUUCAAGUACUCCUUAAAGAUUUUUGUCUGAAUAAGUGCAUUGUGUGUAACAAGCAUUUUUAAAAUGUGAGUUUGAAACAAUUUAGAAAACACAGGAGAGCUAAUUGAAAGCAGUUCUUUGGCUAUAGGUAUCAUUAAUUUAAACAUGUUCCUCAUAACUUUCAUGAUACUUUCUCUUUUUUUUCCUUUCCACUCAAUCCCUCAAAUUUUUCAUUUAGGAAAACCUUGCUAUUUAAUAAAUUGUAGGCCUUAAGCCCCUGUAAAAGUGGCAGAUGAUAUAUUCUCAAACACCCAGUCUUCACGUAUAAAAGGUGACAUAACAUUCAUUUUUUUUCUUUGCCAGAUUACACAACUGAAAAUAGAUCACAACCCUUUUGCAAAAGGAUUUCGGGAUAAUUAUGACACGUAAGUAAUUUUGUAUCUUCCUUUUCAAAUAGCUGUGGAAUUGGGCUUUAGGUCAAAGGUGGAUUAUUAUGUACAAGGAUUUUGAAAGCUGGAAUGUGUGAAGACAAGGUUGUUUCAGAGGACGUCUUCUUCUUCUUCUUCUUUUUUCUUCUUUUUUUUUUCUUUGGUUGGCUCCCCUUCUCUCUGGUGACCUUGUGGCUUGGUACUUGUGUGGUUUUUGGUCAGAGGUUUCCUCCACCUAAUUUUAGCUUUCCUGUGGAUUACAAAGUUGUUGGCGGGCCUCUGGGGCUGGCUGGCUGGCUGGCUGGCUGGCUGGGGAGGCUGCCCUGGUUCUCGGGUGUGAAUACUGUAUGUGGCGCUGCAGAUGCUCAGCUCAGAUUGUCUAUGUCUGUCUGAAAUGGGCAAUUCUGCCUAAAAGUGCAUGUGGCUCCUCUGGCAGUUGUUAACAGUCUCCUUAGCAUAUGCGACUUUUAUUUACCCAUUUCCAAGCUUUGUAUAAUAGCAUUUCCUGUGCAAGUUUAUUACGGACUGAAUACAAAUGUGCACCCACCACAGGCGAGUUCAUGAGCAGAACCGCUGUUACGGUCGUUUUAGGCUUUCGGAAAGAUUCAGAUCUUGUUGCUGUGUAUUAUUUAUAAGCUUCAAAAGAAAAAUAUUUCCUCUUUCUUUUGUAUCUAGGUGUGUUUUAAUUAAACAUGCUGGUGCCCUUUUCUUUAGGCCUCCCUUACCUCCCUCUUUUCUAUCAAAAGGCUGUUCUCUGGGGGCAACAGUAGGUGUAAACUGAAUGCUUUCUGGGCUUGUUCUGCAAUUCUCACUCAGGGUCCAUAGUGCCUAAGAGUUCAGAUAGUGUUAUAAAUCUAAAUCUGGAUUGUGGGGUUCCCCCACGUUUUCUGACCAUAAAAGGAAAGGGUACAUACACCUUAAUUUCAUGGCUUACAUUGAGCGCCGGAGAUAGAGCUAAAAAGUUGAAGCUGCCUUUGACUAGCAUAGAUUAAAUGUGUGGAGAAAGAGACAGGUGACUGCCUCUAUUCCAUCUCCAAGCAGAUACCAACCAUCCCUCCUGAUAUUUUCUAAUAAUUUAAAAGAGAGUCAUUGAUAUUACUGCUUAUAACCACCAUAUAUAUUCUUCAGAAGUACUCCAAAGGAAGCAAGUCUCAUCAAUAUGAUUCCCCAGAAUAAAAACUUGGCUACUGUAUUCCUCACAAUCUAAAAAGGUGUGCCCAGCACAGUGGAAAGUAUAUGGCCCAAGAGACUAGAGAUGUUAGAGGAGAGUCCUGUAGAUUUUGAGAUUUUAAUUCUGUUGUGAACAUCUGUUCAAAAGCAUUUUAUUUUGCACAAAUCAAUUCAGUAAUCCCAAGUGGGUGGGACCUGGAUAGGCAUCUAAACUGUAUCUUUUGCAGACUGCUUUUUUCUUUUUAAAAUAUUGUGGUGAUAAACAGAGAAGAUAUUUGCACCUUGCUAGUUAUGUUCCCUUCCUGCCUCCCUCUGCUUCUCUUAUUUGAAACUGGAAUUCAAUUUCAGGAGGGAAAUUUUGUGCACUAAACAGAACGGACCUGAGCAGCCACAGCAAAACUCUCACAUGCUCCUCCUCCUCUGGCUGCCUUCUGUUGGAAAAGCCACUCCUCUUUGAUCUUAAAUCACUUUAAAUCUUUCAUAAAAGCUUCUUUAUCUCUACAAAAAACAAAAACAAAAACAAAAACCUGAGAUUUUUAGGGGAUAGAGAAGAGUUGGGUGGUUUAUGACACUCUUCCUUUCCCCUUUUACAUUGGUUACUUGGACAUGUCUCAAUUUUGGAGAAAGAGGGAGAAGUAUAAGGGUUCACGGGGUACUAGGAGCUUGCUUGGCCACUCACCAGGGAAUCUCCUCCCUAAAGGAUUAAGGUCUGACAAGACUGAGGCUCUCCUUCAAAACAGUCUGUUGACUAAAGAUUAAAACAUUUAUGUGUGAGCUAAAUAAAAAGGGAGGCAUGUGUGCAUGUGUAUGAGAAAACACUUCUACCAAUCUUCAUCCAACCCCUUGGUUUCCUCUCAAUUCUAAUGGGAUUUUCUAGGCCCAGGGCCUAAAGUUAAUCUUUGAUUAUUUUAUCUAAGGUAAUUCCCAACAACACAAUCACUGUCGGUGGUUGGGCAAGUUAUUUAACUUCCUUUUGCCUCAAUUUCCUCAUCGGUAAAGUGGGAUAAUAAAAGUUACCUAGCUCACAGUGCCUGGCAUAUAGUCGAGCUCCGUAAAGGUUAGCUAUUAUUAGUGGUCCAUUGCAUGCAGUAGGCUGAUAAGUGCACUGUAGGUUUGCCCCGAAGUUUCUGCGGUUAACGGACCAAAAGCUAGGAAAAGAAGGUCAGAGUAAAGAACACCUUUUCUCUUAAGAGAAUAUUUCUGAUUGAUGACUACUGUUUCAGAGUAGUAAUUCUUGUUUGUAUUAGUAGAGGUGGGAGUGAAAGUUUCACACAGGGGAAACAAUAGACACUAAGUACCUUGGAGGCUUCCAGCAGCAAACCUCGGGUUCCAGAACACGGGUGAAGGCCCGUCUUUGAUGAUUACUGCGUGCGCGGCUUUUUCCUAGGGGUUUCUGAAACAAUCUAGAAAAAGCAGAGAAAUCACCUGAACAAUCAAAUGGACACAGGAGGUCUUAAAAGGGUGGAGGAGUGAGUACCUUGCUUAGAAAUUUCACUCAUAAACUGACCGCAGAGGAAAGGCCCACUGGGCAAAGAGCAUCUUACUCCCUAGGUAAAUCUGCCUUAAUAUGCACACAUAUGUUGGAGAAGUGGGAUGAAAGUCCUUGCUUGUGCCCCUCUCUCAGUACCCCAGUACACUUGACGAGAGAGAGCAAGAGAAGAGGGAAGUCGUUCCCUUGAUGGUCUGUAUCUUGCUCAGGUCCCUGCAGACAGAUUGGCUCCUUUAUAAUUCCAUGAUUUAUUUUGGGAAUGAUAGAGGUGUGUGGCCUCUUGUAUUCUCCAGGAAAUCCUGGACUGCAAGUUUGUAGAUGGAGGGUGUGGGGGUGGGAGAAAAGUGGAGGUGGCCUUCCCUUCUGCCCCCACCCCCACCCCAAGGGACCUCCGCGCCACCCCUCGGCUCUCUCUCUCUCUCUCCCUACCCCGCAGGAUCUACACCGGCUGUGACAUGGACCGCCUGACCCCCUCGCCCAACGACUCGCCGCGCUCGCAGAUCGUGCCCGGGGCCCGCUACGCCAUGGCCGGCUCUUUCCUGCAGGACCAGUUCGUGAGCAACUACGCCAAGGCCCGCUUCCACCCGGGCGCGGGCGCGGGCCCCGGGCCGGGUACGGACCGCAGCGUGCCGCACACCAACGGGCUGCUGUCGCCGCAGCAGGCCGAGGACCCGGGCGCGCCCUCGCCGCAACGCUGGUUUGUGACGCCGGCCAACAACCGGCUGGACUUCGCGGCCUCGGCCUACGACACGGCCACGGACUUCGCGGGCAACGCGGCCACGCUGCUCUCUUACGCGGCGGCGGGCGUGAAGGCGCUGCCGCUGCAGGCUGCAGGCUGCACUGGCCGCCCGCUCGGCUACUACGCCGACCCGUCGGGCUGGGGCGCCCGCAGCCCCCCGCAGUACUGCGGCACCAAGUCGGGCUCGGUGCUGCCCUGCUGGCCCAACAGCGCC